GGGACUAUAGCUCAGUAGGAUAGAGCGCUGGAUUCCUAAUCCGGAGGUCGUGUGUUCGACUCACACUAGUCCCA
rnacentral:tRNA from 1 species